rnacentral:rRNA from 1 species
ACGCUCGACACCUACGGGAGGCAGCAGUAGGGAAUCUUCCACAAUGGACGCAAGUCUGAUGGAGCAACGCCGCGUGAGUGAAGAAGGUUUUCGGAUCGUAAAGCUCUGUUGUUGGUGAAGAAGGAUAGAGGUAGUAACUGGCCUUUAUUUGACGGUAAUCAACCAGAAAGUCACGGCUAACUACGUGCCAGUAGCCGCGGUAAUCUGAGCGGGCUGGCAAGGC